rnacentral:rRNA from 1 species
UACAGAGGUGGCAAGCGUUGUUCGGAAUUAUUGGGCGUAAAGCGCGUGUAGGCGGCCUUGCAAGUCGGGUGUGAAAGCCCUCAGCUCAACUGAGGAAGUGCGCCCGAAACUGCAUGGCUUGAGUACCGGAGAGGAUGGUGGAAUUCCCGAAGUAGAGGUGAAAUUCGUAGAUAUCGGGAGGAACACCGGUGGCGAAGGCGGCCCUCUGGACGGUGACUGACGCUGAGACGCGAAAGCGUGGGGAGCAAACAGG